GACUCUUGCAUGAGGCAGAUGGUCUCACUAUUCAGUGGGAUUUGUGCUCAUUUCUCUAUAAAUGGGUGUUUAUGAUAUUUUAAAGUCAGCAUAUUUUUUGCAUUCACCUGAGGGAGUGAAAAGAAUCCAACAUAUGAAGGAAGAGGCUCAAGAGUUGAAUGCUUUGGACCAACUGGAACUGGGUCCUUUUAGAGCUUUAUUAUAUGGUGCUAUUUCUGGUUAUUGUGCUCAAGUUGCUAUAUAAGUACAUAUCCUUUUGAAGUUGUAAGGAGACAGCUUCAAAUGCAAGUUCAGGCAACAGGUUUGAAUACACUGGCAACAUCUGUCAAGAUUGUUGAGCAAGGAGGUGUUCCUGCUUUCUAUGCAGGAUUAAUUCCCAUCUUAUUGCAGAGAUGAUUUCCCCAACUUGCAAUUUCUAUUUUCUUUUGCCCUCUGAGUGACUUUGACAGUUCAAAGUUGGCAGUUUUGGUGAGCACAAUGCGGCUUGUCUUCCUAUAUCCGGGGGAAGACACUUUCCUUCUUGCUGCUCCAUGUUUUUCUGCUGCUGAUACUUUGUUAGAGGUAAACAGUAGGUUUCAACUGCCUUUUGAUUUGGCAGAGUCUGCUGAUUUAUGUUUUUUUAUUAAUGGGACAGACUCUGCCAAUUUGUUUAUCAUAAAAGCUGGCCCUUAGUGUGGUUGUUGUGGAACACUGUCAAGUCUUUUCAUGAUCUUAAAACAGCUUCAAACAUUCAUGGAUGUUAAUUAGUUACUUAUUAAUUUGCUUAAUGUUCAUACCAUUAUGUGUUAAUCAUGUACUCUUUAUGAGCUUCUUUUAUGAUAACGUCUGAUGUUAAAUGUCCCAAUUUGAUGACACUGCUUUAAGUGGGUGGAGUUAUAUUAGGUGCGGGUUACAAGUUGUGUGGACACCAGCACAAUUCCAGAAUGAUUUUUCUUCAAGUGGUCUAAAAUAUUCAUGAUUUAGCAGGACAAAAAGAAUACCAAAUCUCUAUAUCCUUAAAUGGUUCUUUUAUUUUCUUAUUGGAAGCUAACUUUUGGCUUUAUAUGGUGCUUAUUGGGAUUAUGGUCAUGUUGGGUAAAUGAUCAUGGCAUCACCACAUAUACCAUGUGCUUCAUGAUUUCCUUAAGUUUUUUUUGCACCUACUUGCUUAAUUAUUAUGAAGGUUUUUUCCCCUUUUUUUUCUAUCUUUUACCUUGACUCUUUUGGCUCUGAUAUGUAUAGUUGUGCCAUUAUGUGCUAACUUUGACUAACACCUUGGAAGUAUUAUAUGUUGAUAAAGGUUUCACACUUUCACUUCUUCUAUGUCCUUUUUGAUAUUUUAACUAGAGCCAUAACCGCAUCAUUUUUCUUUCCCAAAGGAUUUUAUUGUUGCUGGCAUUGCUAGAAGUAGAACUUUUCCCAAAGAUUUUCCUCUGGAUAUUGAAUCUGACAACAGCCUUGGAGUUUUACCCUUUAGGUGGAGAUCCCAAAGUUCUUGCUGGUUGUAAGUAUUUCUAAAAACUUGCAGCCUCAGAGUGAAAUUAAACCUGUUGGAAACUAAAUUUAUAUAUUAUUAAUGUAAAUUUUUACACAAGUUCUUCGUACUUAGGAAUAUACAUAUUAUUUCAUAU